UACAGAGGGGGCAAGCGUUGUUCGGAAUUACUGGGCGUAAAGGGCGCGUAGGCGGCCUUCUAAGUCGAACGUGAAAUCCCUGGGCUCAACCCAGGAACUGCGUCCGAUACUGGGAGGCUUGAAUCCGGGAGAGGGAUGUGGAAUUCCAGGUGUAGCGGUGAAAUGCGUAGAUAUCUGGAGGAACACCGGUGGCGAAGGCGGCAUCCUGGACCGGUAUUGACGCUGAGGCGCGAAAGCUAGGGGAGCAAACGGGG
rnacentral:rRNA from 1 species